rnacentral:miRNA from 1 species
UGUGUGUGUGUGUGUGUGUGUGUGUGUGUGUGUGUAUGUGUGUAUACAUACACAUACACAGACACAUACACAUAUGCAUAUGCAUAUACAUAU